rnacentral:rRNA from 1 species
UACAGAGGCCACAAGCGUUAGUCGGAAUCACUGGGCUUAAAGGGUGCGUAGGCGGACCUGUAAGUGUUCUGUGAAAUCCCUCGGCUCAACCGAGGAAUUGCAGGGCAUACUGCGGGUCUUGAGGCAUGUAGGGGCGGGCAGAACAGUAGGUGGAGCGGUGAAAUGCGUAGAUAUCUACUGGAAUGCCGAUGGGGAAGCCGGCCCGCUGGGCAUGUCCUGACGCUGAGGCACGAAAGCGUGGGGAGCAAAC